CCUUGCGAGUCAGUUCAGGGGUGCAGCUCUAUUCUGCUUACCAGCUCCCCCUUCCUCCAGCCUCCCCACAGACCAUGAAUGCUCUGCUCAGGAUCCAAGGCUGGUGCCAAUUACAAAAGGACUCUUAACUCCAUUUUCGCAGCCCCUUGAUUGAUAGCACUGGCUCACAGGCUCAUGGCUGAGGAGACACCUAGGCUGACCAUUGGCGACUAUGUCUGUCUUCUGUCCUUCAUGAAGAAGGAAUCUGAGUCUUCCUGACCCUGGCUCAAUGUGCUGCGACACAGAAACCAGAAGAUAUUAGUGACAGCGGUACCAUGGACGGAAUAUGGCUACCCUGCUGGUCUAAAGAGCAAAGCUGGAAUCUUGGUGUCCUCCUGACAUUGACUCCACUGGGAGCUUCCAAUUAGGGCAUGGAAGCGCUUCAGCAUGACACGGAGAUGCCAGGACAUGGGGCAGCACGCUGGUUUCUUGUCUGAGAGUGCGCCUGGUGCCACACUUCUGAUGGGCCAGCUGGCUGUGUGCAGCUGAGUGCUGAGGGCUUUCCACAGCAGGGCCCGUGGAGGUUAG